CCUCUCUGCAAUUCAAAGCUGGAAGGCUUGACCAGCGGAUAUGAGAACGUGCCUCCAUUUGGAGCUGAUUCGUUUCGCUGUACCUAGUCGGGAGCGGGGACAGAGCGCGUGCGCGCGCGUGCAUUAUGGGGGGGCAGUAAUGAUCGCGGCUCUGCUUGCCUCUUGAGGUCAUGGAAGGGUAACAUGAAAUAAUAAAGACAUGUGCUUUCAUUCCUCUAACACAUUACCCACGAGUAGAAUUGCUGGUCAUAUAUGUAAGUGUAUUUCAACUUUUUAAGGAACCAUCAAACUGCUUUCCAAUGUGGCUGUACCAUUUUAUAUUCACCGGCAAUAUAUGAGGAUUCCAGUUUUUCCACAUCCUUGUUAGCACUUGUUAUUAUUUGACUUUUAGAUUCUAACCAUCCUCCUGGGUGUGAGAUGGUAUCUUAUUGUUUUGACUUGUAUUUCCUAAUGAGUAAUGAUGUUGAGCAUUUUUUUCAUAUGCUUAUCGGCCAUUCAUUUAUCUUCUUUGGAGGAAUGUCUAUUCAAAUACUUGGUCCAUUUUUAAAUUGGGUUGUUUUUCCAUGUAUUACUGAGUUGUAAAACUUUUAUAUGUUCUAGAUAGAAGUGCCUUAUCAGAUAUAUGAUUUGAAAAUACUUUCUCCCAUUAUGUGUAUGUCUUCUCACUUUCUUAAUGUUGUCUUUUGAAUCACAAAAGUUUUAAAUUUAUGUCCAUUUUAUCACUUUUUUUCAUUGCUUGUGGUUUUGAGUUGUAUCUAGAAAUCGUUGCCUUGCCCAAGAUCAUGAGAAUUUUUCUUUUUUUCUUCUAAAAGUUUUAUAGUUUUAGAUCUUACGCUUUGAUCUUUGAUCAGUUCUGAGUUAGUACUUGUGUAUGGUGUGAGGCAGGUGUCCAAAUUAAUCCUUCUGCUGGUGAAUAUUCAGUUGUACCAAUAUCAUUUGUUGAGAAAAUUUUCUUUCCUAUUGAAUUUUCUUGGCAUUUUUGUUGAAAAUCAGUUGACUGCAAAUGUAUGAGUUUAUUUUUGGGCCCACAAUUCCAUUGAUUUAUUUAUAUGUCUAUUCUUAUGCCAGUGCCUCACUGUCUUGAUUAGUGUAGGUUUAUAGUAAAUUUUCAAGUUGGGAAGUCUAAGUCUUCCAACUUUAUUCUUAUUUUUCAAUAUUGUUUGGCCAUUUCAUUUUCUGCAAAAAGACAGCUAGGAAUUUGAUGGGGGUUGCAUUGAACCUAUAGAUCAAUUUGGGUAGAAUUUCCAUUGUAACAAUAUU